CCUACGGGUGGCAGCAGUGAGGAAUAUUGGACAAUGGUCGGAAGACUGAUCCAGCCAUGCCGCGUGCAGGAUGAAGGUCUUAUGGAUUGUAAACUGCUUUUGUAAGGGAAGAAUAAGAGCUACGCGUAGUUUGAUGACGGUACCUUACGAAUAAGCAUCGGCUAACUCCGGGCCAGCAGCCGCGGUAAUACGGAGGAUGCGAGCGUUAUCCGGAAUCAUUGGGUUUAAAGGGUCCGUAGGCGGGCUAAUAAGUCAGAGGUGAAAGCGUUCAGCUCAACUGAGCAACUGCCUUUGAAACUGUUGGUCUUGAAUGGUUGUGAAGUAGUUGGAAUGGGUAGUGUAGCGGUGAAAUGCUUAGAUAUUACAAAGAACACCGAUAGCGAAGGCAUAUUACUAACAAUUAAUUGACGCUGAUGGACGAAAGCGUGGGGAGCGAACAGGAUUAGAUACCCGUGUAGUC
rnacentral:rRNA from 1 species